AUUCAAGCGCACUGUACCCUCUGGAUCCUAUUUUGGACAAUGGCAUCCUCCGUGUUGGUGGGAGGCUAAAACACUCAUCUCUCAGUCAAGAUCUAAAACAUCCUGUAAUACUUCCAAAAAGGUAACCACAUCACUAAACUAAUUCUGUCACAUUUCCACACCAAAGUUCGUCACCAGGGAAGAAGCCAAACUCAAAUGGAGUUAAGAAUGAAUGGAUUCUGGAUCAUUGGAGGCAGUAAGUCCGUCGCCAAGUUCAUACACAAGUGUGUGCAAUGUCGGAAACUCAGACGACCAGCUGAAGAACAGCGUAUGGCAGAACUUCCCAGAGAACGUGUUGAGGUUUCCGCUCCAUUCACGUACUGUGGUAUGGACUGUUUCGGGCCAUUUAUUGUGUGACCACGGCACUAACUUUGUUGGAGCUAAAAAAAUGAAUUCGCAAAAAUCACUGAAAGAGAUUGACACCAAUGCCUUAGAGAUCUUUCUUACAGAAAGGCAAUGCGAGUUUGUCUUUAAUGCUCCUUCUGCAAGCCAUGCUGGAGGUGUCUGGGAGCGCCAGAUACGAACUGUGCGAAAUGUACUCAAUGCCACACUUGCUUUAUGCCCAGGCAGGCUUGAUGACGCAUCACUCAGAACGCUGUUCUAUGAAGCAAUGGCCAUUGUAAACAGCCGCCCUCUAACGGUAGAUGGGAUUAAUGAUCCAAAUUCACUCGAACCAUUGACCCCAAACCAUCUGAUAAUGAUGAAGUCUGAUGUUGCUCUUCCACCUCCAGGAAAGUUUGUAAAACAAGAUGUGUAUGCCACUAAAAGAUGGCGCAGAGUUCAAUACCUAAUCGAACAAUUUUGGAGUCGUUGGAAGAAGGAAUACCUUCUCAACAUUGCAGCACGUCAGAAAUGGCAUAUUCCUCGCCGUAACCUUCAAGUGAAUGAUGUUGUAAUCAUCAAAGACGAUAUGCUUCCCAGAGGUCAGUGGCAAUUAGGCCGAGUGGUGGAAACCAGUGAAGGAAGUGAUGGUCUUGUAAGGCGAGUCAAGUUGCAGUUAGGGGAGCGAAAAGAAAAUCAACGCUCCAAGCCUACAGUCAUUGAAAGGCCCAUCCAAAAAUUGGUGGUACUUAUUGAAAAUGAGUAAUCAGCGACUGCUUUGUGAUACCAUUGCAUCAGACCAUGUAAUUAAGUUCUAUAAAACCUAACAUUUUAGACUUCACAUGCAUAUAAACUGUUUGAAGGCGGUCAUAUUGAUGUUCAGAAAUCAUGUUCUGAUUCAUUCACAGUUUGUUCUGUUCUUUCAUCAUCUCAUAAUUGGUGGGAGUGUAAAUGACCGCAAAAAAUAUGUAUGUGUGUGUGUCACUUUAAAUGUGUUGUGUGCGCGCACGCACGCUCUCUACGUAACGUAAGCUGUAACGCAGGUAGAAGAAAGAGGUGCGGACGAGGAGCACAUCGUGGUUCUCACAUGGUGUUUACAAAAGUUUGAAAUAUAUAUUGUAAAAGGUGGAUGCACUUUACGUUUUGGUUCAUUUAGUACCCUUUGGCAAGCGGAGCGAGGUAUGUGUCUUUAUUGUGUGUUUUGCAUGUUGUAUUUUAAAGUGAUAUAUAAUUUCGUAUGUCACGUGUUAUUUGUCGAGCUCUUUUGGUUAAUUCUCAUGUAUGUAAUAAUUUAUUUGCCUUUUGGGUAUCUGUAAAUGUUUAUUUAUUUAAGUAAUCUGUCAUUUGUACAUAUGUUUUUUAUUUAUGAGUAUAUUGUUUCUUUAUGUAGUUUCACGGUGCUACAACACAACGUUUCUCGAAGUCACGGUUAAUGGCGCUCAAAGCGAGCGAAAUAAAGAAGAUUAAGCACCCGUCGAAACUCUCUGUCUCGUUUGUCGACGCCAAGGGGCUGCUACAUUGUAUUUGUCUGUAGAUUUAGACAUCCACAGUGACAUCUUAAAGGGAUAGUUCACCCAAAAAAUAAAAUUCUGUCAUUAUUUACUCACCACAAAAAAAGCAUAUUCCAAACCAUAUGACUUUUGUGUUCCAUGUAUCAGUUUAUGUAUCUGUAUCUAUAACAAUGUAUCUGUUUAUGUUUUUUUGUACAAUAACUGUGCAAGCGACUUUUAUUGUAUGGGCAAAAACAGUUGAAACUUUCACAAAACAUGUUCUUACAGGGGGGAAAAAAAGCUGAAGAAUAGUAAGUCUGAAUGUAUAAAAUUCAUUUAACAUUAUAGGUGAAAAGUACCCAUGCCACAGUCUCUGAACAUUGGUGGUUUGACAGUGCAUUGAAACUGUUUAUCGCCUUCCUGAACUAAUAUAAACCAACCAUCUGCUUUUAACCAAACACAUAAAAAACAUGCUCCCUUUAACCCAAUACAGUCCCCAAUUUAGCAGCGCAGAGCGGGGAGAAGGCAACUGUAGAGCUGAUUUUGUGUGGACUGUUCUGGUGAGAAAAUCCACUCCAGAUGUAUACAAAUCACCCCUUGGUUAAUUGCCAUUGUUGUCAUAAAUGAUUUAUUUUAUUUUUAUUAAUUUUUUUGAAUACCAAGGCAUUGGUAACUUUUGUAUGAGGUGACAGGAUCAUUUGAGUAAAUGUUCUGGAUUUUGUAUAAAACAAACUAACAGAGCAUCGAGAGGCCAAACAGGAGGAAUUAGGAUGACACCUAAACCUGUUAGAGGUUUGACUACUGGCUACUUACUCAUAAACAGCCACAGAUGUUCCCCAAUGCCUUUCAAACACUUCGGUCGGGCUUUUUUUAGUGUUCAUGUGCGCGUUUGCCCCAUUCUGUUUCCUGUCAUCAUGGCAUCUGUAUAAAGAGCCAAAUAUUGGCUUUGUGAGUCCCAUGGUUAAUCACAGAGUAAUUAGGAGCUGGUCCUGCAGGAAUGGAGGGUUGACUUUGCUUUGAAACUCACUCUCCCCUUGUUCCUCAUAAUAGGUUUUUUUUUACAAGCACUUUUGAGGUGGAGAGAGAGGAGAGGUUUUACUGGGCCGGCAGUGUGGUGUGUGGCGUUUCACAGAGCACUUUAAAAUCAAUCUGGAACAUCUAAAUGACAGACCACCACUCCACUGUAAUCAACCUGAAUGAAGCCCAGCCGUAAAGUGCAGGAAAUAAAAAAAAAGAAGAACAUAAAUAAACAAACAAGCAGAUAAUGACUCCUCAGUUAGCUUCUUUUUAAAUGGGUGUGUUUUGGUUUUAGAACUAAAUGACAAAGAAAGAAUGAAUGUGUGUGGAUGCUGAUGUCUAACAGAAGCUGUGUGUGUGUGUGUGUGUGUGUGUGUGUGUGUGUGUGUGUGUGUGUGUGUGUGUGUGUGUGUGUGUGUGUGUGUGUGUGAAUGAGUAAGAGAAAGCGGCCACUUCCCAAAUUUAAUGAACUCUUUGAUUUUUUAAAACGACAUCCUUCUGGACUCAAUCAAGUUACUCAUGUUUUUGGCUUCAGCAUAUUUAUUUUGUGUUUUUAAACUACUAUGCUGGUAGGCAAGCUUUAAUUUCACCCAAAUAUUUGGUCAUGCCAUUGUAAAUACUCCACACUUUUGAAGCAUUCACCACAAAACAUUUUCAGAAACUUUCAGUGGAGUUACUUGCUAUUCCUAUUAGCUGUUUAGGUAAUUUUCAUAGAACCAAUAAUGUUUUUUUGUUUUUGUUUUUUAUCAAAGAAAAAAAAAAAUGUAAUAUCCUUAAUAUCCUAAUAUCUUAACAAUGAACUUUGAAUUCAUGGUAAAAAUAAGAAUAUCAUGCCCUGUACUGAGGUGAAAAUACAUGUGUUUGUAGAAACUUUCUGAAUCAUCUCUCCAUAAAUUGCACUCCAUGGAACCUUUUAAAUGCAAAAAAAUAAAUAAAUAAAUAAAAUAAAAUAAAAAAAAAAUUCUUUAUAGUGGAAAAGGUUUCUUAAGAUUUUUAAAAUGUUCUGAAAUGUAAAAAUGUUCACUGAAAGGCUCUUUGGGGAAUUAAAAAUGGUUCUUCUAUGGCAUCACUGCAAAAACACCCUUAUGGAGCCUUUAUUUUUAAGAGUGUGUGCAGAUAAACAUUAAUAUGUUCAUUGCUGCAUGUCAUUCCAUGAUAUUGGAAUAUAUUUAUUUAUGAGUCCAUAUGAGAAACACUUCUUUGAAUCACUGCUUUAAUAUUUCUGGUUUUGUAGGCUUAAAAUGCAACCUAAUGCAUCAUUAUAAUAUGUAAAAUAAUGCCAGCUGUAAAGUUUGAAAGAUUGUUCUUAUUAGGUGUUUUAAACUUUUUAUUCAUUUAUAUACUUACUUAGAAAUGUGAAUUCUUUUGUUUGGAUAAACUUCAGCUGCUCCCCAGCUCACUCUGCGGCACCCUCGCACCUUCACUUUACGGUGUGUGAAGUUUACCUGACCUUCUCUUCACAUCCUUCUGUGUGCUGUUUGGAGAAGUCGCCUCUGACCACUGGACUCAGAGCUGUUACGCUUUAGAUAAUCUGCUACUGCCUGAACACACAACAUAUCUCAGAUGUUUUGACACCAUAACAAUGGCUUCAAGCAAGAUAUAUGUCAUGUAACCGAUUUCAUUUCAUACAAAAACAGUAAAAGUCUUCUACAAACAGUAAAAGAAAACGAUGAAAUAUGAAUCAAAAACAACAUUUGUUGUUGCACAAACUUCUGUUCUAAACCACCUUUUAUAUCUAAAGCAACAGGAAAUG
ensembl:lncRNA